rnacentral:rRNA from 1 species
ACGGGUAGCCGGCCUGAGAGGGCGACCGGCCACACUGGGACUGAGACACGGCCCAGACUCCUACGGGAGGCAGCAGUGGGGAAUAUUGCACAAUGGGCGGAAGCCUGAUGCAGCGACGCCGCGUGAGGGAUGACGGCCUUCGGGUUGUAAACCUCUUUCAGCAGGGACGAAGCGUAAGUGACGGUACCUGCAGAAGAAGCGCCGGCCAACUACGUGCCAGCAGCCGCGGUAAGACGUAGGGCGCGAGCGUUGUCCGGAUUUAUUGGGCGUAAAGAGCUCGUAGGCGGCUUGUCGCGUCGACCGUGAAAACCUGGGGCUCAACCCCAGGCCUGCGGUCGAUACGGGCAGGCUAGAGUUCGGUAGGGGAGACUGGAAUUCCUGGUGUAGCGGUGAAAUGCGCAGAUAUCAGGAGGAACACCGGUGGCGAAGGCGGGUCUCUGGGCCGAUACUGACGCUGAGGAGCGAAAGCGUGGGGAGCGAACAGGAUUAGAUACCCUGGUAGUCCACGCUGUAAACGUUGGGCGCUAGGUGUGGGGGGCCUCUCCGGUUCCCUGUGCCGCAGCUAACGCAUUAAGCGCCCCGCCUGGGGAGUACGG